rnacentral:lncRNA from 1 species
UUGCAGCAGAGCUUCAAUUAUCAUGUUUGUCACCUGGCUGCUUCACCCAAGCCUCUAACAUGAAGGAGAAAGAAGCCUUUACCACCUCAGGGCACAGAAACACUGGAUUCCUUGUUUUGGCUGGAGGCUGUUUCCAUAGGAUUUGCUGUCUCCUACUCACCAUGUUCUCUAAAUGAUAUUGGACUAGUAGCUUUGGGUUUAUUCAGAAUUAUGGUUGCUCCCACCUCUCUCCAUACACAGAAAACUUUGUUUUGAAAUCAAGUGGCAGAAGAUAUGUAUGCAGCAUGGUUUAAUGAAUGACCUACUUUGGGAGCCAGAGUCAGAGCAGCAGCCCUAGUGCAGAGAGACCACUUGUUGCGUUCUCUCCUGAUGGAAGAGCAGUCGUUCUCAGCAUCAGACUCUAACCUCUUCUGGCUUUUAAUCAGGAGUUACUUCCAAGAACAGGGCAACAGGCUGGGACCCGUCUCGUGCAGCUCAGUUUCUGAGCAGCCUUAUGCAGGUUUGUUUUGGACUGCUAUCUCCUCCUGCAAGCAAAACAGCAAUUUCUACUCAAUCCUGCGUGAAGGAGAUGUGUCCAGCAGUUCUCUCUUGCUCCCCAGGGGAAUAAAGAUCUAUCUCCUGCAUUAUUGGCUUUUCUUGUUCGUUGUUUUUUAUUUUCUUGCUUCGGUUUCCAAAACCACUGAAUUCACAGCAUGUUCAGCUAACAGAAAAAUAACCCAAGUGCUGUGCUUUGAACACAUAAUGGAUCUCCUAAAGAACAUGAAACCACCAAUGUCCACUGGAAGUUCUUGUCUACAUGAGGUGAACAUGCAGAAAGGUAAAAAACCCCUGACACUCUCCAGGGAGUCGCAUGUAUCAGGUAAUUUUUUUUUAUGA